rnacentral:rRNA from 1 species
AUGGACUUGUCGCGGGCUACGAUGUCGCGAGCUCCGGUUCUGCCACGCCGUCUCCUUCGGGAAGCAAAACGCAGGACCUGUACACAACGAGCAGAGCGCCAUGGACCUCUGCAUCGGAGAGACAUGCGCACAGUGGACUUGUCUCGGGCUACAUCGCAGCGAGCUCCGGUUCCACCACGUCGUCUCCUCCAGAAACCAAGGCACCAGACGUGUCCACCGCGAUUGGGACGCCAUAGACCUAUGCACCAGAGAUACCUAUUCGCCAUGGACUUGUCUCAUCGUGACCUAUACAUUGUGAUAUGUUCGCCAAGGACAUGUAGGCCAACAUGGUAG